rnacentral:rRNA from 1 species
UAAAGCCCCUUCGACGAGUCGAGUUGUUUGGGAAUGCAGCUCUAAAUGGGAGGUAAAUUUCUUCUAAAGCUAAAUAUUGGCCAGAGACCGAUAGCGCACAAGUAGAGUGAUCGAAAGAUGAAAAGCACUUUGGAAAGAGAGUUAAAAAGCACGUGAAAUUGUUAAAAGGGAAGGGAUUGCAACCAGACUUGC